UACAGAGGCCCCAAGCGUUAUCCGGAAUUACUGGGCGUAAAGGAUGUCAAGGCGGUCAUGUUAGUCGUUCGUUAAAUCCGUGGGCUCAACCUACGGCUCGCGAGCGAAACGGCAUGACUUGAGGUUGGAAGAGGUGCGUGGAACUCACGGUGUAGGGGUGAAAUCCGUUGAUAUCGUGGGGAACACCAAAGGCGAAGGCAGCGCACUGGUCCAAAUCUGACGCUCACACAUGAAAGCCAGGGUAGCGAACGGG
rnacentral:rRNA from 1 species